AGUAAACGCUGGCGGCGUGCUUAACACAUGCAAGUCGAGCGAGAAAGCUCCUUCGGGAGUUAGUACAGCGGCGGACGGGUGAGUAACGCGUGGGAAUCUGCCCUUUAGUGAGGAAUACCCUCGAGAAAUCGGGGUUAAGUACUGCAUAAGUCUCUUACGAGAGAAAGCUGGCCUCUUUGCUGGCGCUAAAGGAUGAGCCUACGUACUAUUAGCUAGUUGGUGGGGUAAUGGCCUACCAAGGCGAUGAUGGUUAGCCGGCCUGAGAGGGCGUACGGCCACACUGGAACUUAGACACGGUCCAGACUCCUACGGGAGGCAGCAGUGGGGAAGUAUUGCGCAAUGGGCGAAAGACCUGACGCAGCGACGCCGCGUGGAGGAUGAAGGUCUUCGGAUUGUAAACUUCUGUUAAGUGGGAAGAAAG
rnacentral:rRNA from 1 species